GCAUGUUUGUGCUUGUUGGUAUGUUGCUGUAGAUGAGAUCAUAUGGAUCAGGGUUGAGGUCUUCCUCGCCUUCUAUGAUUUCAAUUUCCACUUCUCUGUCCCACUCUGAUUUGAUAUACAACAUAUUUAAUUUGAAUGAUAUUAUUCGUGCAUCCACUUCUUUGAUUGCUGGAAGCAUUGAGGAGGGUAUGUCUGGCCAGAGAGCCACUUUACCUUGAUCAUCAUUGUAUAAUGGUUGUGUUUGUUCAUCUGUUUCUCUGAUGCUUGGAAACAUUGAGGAGGGGAUGUCUGUCCAGGAAAGAUGGUUAGUUGUACAUACAGGUUUAUAUUUACUUAGAGUUUGAGUAUUAUAUAAACUUGAGAUUAUUACCGUAAGUCAUGACUUGUGGUUGCUCCAGAGGUUCUUUGUUUUCGUCGGUGUUUUUCGUCAUGGAUGCAUCUUCUUUUGAUGAUACGGAACCAGUUUGCCUCCGUUUUCUCAUGAAUUGUUCGUUACGAUGGUGUAGCAAUGUUUACCUUUUUCCUGCUGCCACAUGAUCCCUGUGUUUUACAGCCAACGUAGAAGUACUAACCUCUUGUUCGGUUGCGACAUACUCAGGGUUUUCCAUUGCAAGUGAAUCUUUGCAUGGUGUGCUGCGUUCCAUUUGACGGCGAGCUUUUCUUUGUUCUACUCUUGCUUUCUUUUGAACUGGCUGCAAGUUUGCAUAUUUUUGUUUUUCAUGUGUGCAAUGUGCUGCCUUCUGUUCUGCUGUCUUCCCUGAAUCUUUCUUUUGAUGAUAGGCCUCACGGCGUUUUUUGAGUUUGUCCUGCCUUUCUUCAUCGGUCAUGCGUUCAUUCCGCUCUUUAUACCGCUCUUGAUCUCUCUUUUCUUUUUUGUUCCUUAUCAUUUUUCAAUUUCUCCUGCCUUUCUUCAUUGGUCAUCCGUUCAUAUCGCUCUGUAUCUCUUUUUCUUCUUUUCUCCUUCGCAUCCAUGGCUUGCCUGCAUCAAAGUACAAAGCUAGCUAGCCUUUAUAUAUGUAUCACCACAGGUCUUGAGCUCUAGAAAAUGGUGGAAAGAAUUAUUUAUCAAGUUACAUGAAAUAAAACUGCUACAGAGAGUCAAGGGUACUUGGUCCUUUCUUAUUUUGUGUUGUUCUGUCCAUUCUAGAAUUAUAUUAGUGAUAUCUUUUUGGUGAUUUCUGCGGAAAUUUUAAGCUUCUUAUCAUUUCUAUUAUUUUCUUCAAAAGAGAAUUAUUUGAUUUGCAUUUCAGUUAGCAAAAUUAAGUAGUUCAUGCCUUGGAUUAGAUAUGAGAGGGAUUUAUUAUAAGUAAUAAACUGUAUUCUAAAUAUGCAUCCGUGCAGUUGGAGCCUUCAUGGACUGGAUAUCUAGGCCCUGUUCGGUACCACUCCGCUCCACAACUCCGGUAGCAGAGUUGGUGGAGCUGCACUUCAAAACGGCGGAGGUGCACUUCCCCCGCUCUGCACAUUCCGGGAGCGGGCGACUACCGAACAUGGCCCUAAUAUUGUGAAACCGACUGUUCACUUUCCCAUAUCUAUAUGAUGAUGUAGAUAUAUUUAGGAAUAUAUAAAAUCCAUGACCUGAUCCAUGUAUUUACAAGAGUUACCCAACAUGCAGUAGUAGGACAUGCAUAUUCUCAGUAAUUUUGAGUUAUAUCGAUUGUACUCCUUCGCUGAUCAGCAUGUAAUCACUCUAAGACUGUACGAUUAAUUGUUUUAUUCUAAUGAAAUUGCAAUAGCAGGACA